rnacentral:lncRNA from 1 species
AUUAAAAUUACAAAUUUUGAAACCCUUUGAUCAUUAGGCAAAUGAUGUCGAAAAGAUUUGAAAUUUGAUUUCUAAACACUUCAAGUGGUAUAGAUCAUGUUCAAUGGAGCCGAUCGUCAAUUUGGAAGCUCUAUCAUCGAAAACAAAUAGGUAGUAAAACGGCUCGUUUACUACUGAUAGUAUUCUAGCAAAACUCUCUCUCUCUCUCUCUCUCUCUAUAUAU